rnacentral:rRNA from 1 species
AUUGAACGCUGGCGGCAGGCCUAACACAUGCAAGUCGAGCGAGCGGCGGACGGGUGAGUAAUGUAUGUGGCUCUGCCCGAUGGAGGGGGUUACCUACUGGAAACGGUGGCUAAUCCCGCAUACUUUCGGAUUAACCCAUAUGGGAGUAGCUAGUAGGUGGGGUAAAGGCUCACCUAGGCGACGAUCUCUAGAUGGUCUGAGAGGAUGAUGAGCCACACGGGAACUGAGACACGGCCCAGACUCCUACGGGAGGCAGCAGUGGGGAAUAUUGCACAAUGGGCGAAAGCCGGAUGCAGCCAUGCCGCGUGUAUGAAGAAGGUCUUAGGGUUGUAAAGUACUUUCAGCGGGGAGGCGUUACCUGAAGAAGAAGCACCGGCUAACUCCGUGCCAGCAGCCGCGGUAAUUC